GUACACGCUGUGACUAGCAUAUCAAUAAGCGGAGGAAAAGAAACUAACAAGGAUUCCCCUAGUAACGGCGAGUGAAGCGGGAAGAGCUCAAAUUUGAAAUCUUAAAGGGUUUCCCUUUACGAAUUGUAGUUUAAAGAAGUGUUUUCUGUUGAGGUUUUGGUAAAAGUUCUUUGGAAUAGGACAUCAUAGAGGGUGAGAAUCCCGUAUUUGACCUUUACUUUCAACUUUGUGAUACACUUUCAAAGAGUCGGAUUGUUUGGGAAUGCAGUCCAAAAUGGGUGGUAAAUUUCAUCUAAAGCUAAAUAUUGGCGAGAGACCGAUAGCGAACAUGUACCGUGAGGGAAAGAUGAAAAGAACUUUGAAAAGAGAGUUAAACAGUACGUGAAAUUGUCAAAAGGGAAGCGUUUGACACCAGUGUUGUUUUUCUGAAAAUCAAUUAAAGAACUGUUUAUGCUAAGCUGUUUAGACUUUAUCAGCUAUCUGUUUAGUUUUGAGCUUUUCUUUAAUGCACUUUUCAGUUAACAAGUCAACAUCAAUUUCUUUUGCUGUAAAAAAGCUUGAGGAAGGUGGCUUGAGAUUCGUCUUAAGUGUUUAUAGCCUCUUGCCUAUGCAGUCGGAGAGAUUGAGGUCUGCAGCGUAGAUCCUUCGGGGCUAAAUGCAUUUGUGCUAAGGUUAUAGCAUUUUAUAGACAACUUGUUGACUAUGAUUUGUCUUGUAGCUUACUCGCUUAUGUUAUUUUACCUACGCUUAGGAUGUUGAAGUCAUCGUAUCGCGC
rnacentral:rRNA from 1 species